rnacentral:lncRNA from 1 species
AGGGCGCGAUUGCCAGUGUGGGCGACGCAAUGGCCUUCGUGUACUUCUUCGAGCACCGAUCUUGUUUGCUGCGGCCCUAAGCACUUGGCUAAUGGGCCACCGAACGUCCUUUUAUAAAGAUCGCCAUUGACCAUGCAGUACCGGGCGGCCUGUAUGAGAAGCUUCUUCGCUUCUUUUUUAUCGGGGGGUAAUACCUCGUCCUGCAAAUAAGAUAUGAACUGGUUGCGCCAGUCCCAAGUCAGGCUUAGGGAAAGUACCUCGGUGUGGUCGAUAGCCGAGCGGAGGAGUGUGACCACACUUUCUUUGUUGAUAUGUUUGGUGGCGG